CUGGAAGCCAUCCAUGCGGCACUUUCCUUCCAGGGCCCUGAUGUGUGACAGUUUCCUGCGUGAGACUUCCCUUCUUACUUGGCACUUGGAUUUUAAAAUGACUCAGUGAUUAAUGCUUCAGAGCUGCACGUGAUAAUUGUCUUGGCAGAAGGCGAUGUCUUUGUUCUUAGUCACACACCUUUUGUGUGGUGUUUCCCACUCUGGCUCCCUUAUUUAUGACCUGUUGGCAUGCAUCUAUAUUUAGCAAGUAAAUUGCUGAUAUCUAACGAGUCAUCAAAGAAUAAGAAAAUGUUCGAAGACAUCUCCCACAGAGCUCUCUGGUCUAGUUCCUGUAUCAUUCCCAUUCAUCCUUAAAAGCAGAAAGUAUUUACUCGAUGUUUGGCCUGGGCUUUCAGCCGUGGGAAAAAAAUUCACCUUUGAGUGCCCAUAUUAAAAGCCAAAACCAAGUAGACAUGGGUGAGAAUUCUCAAGCAGACUCCUAAGAUCUUUCAAAACUCCUCAGAGGAUUAAAAACCGAGCCCUAGAAACAGGUAAGAGAGGGAUGGAAUCUGAAGUGCUCUAUUCUAGUCUUUGUGUGUAUGGGGAUAUGGGGGCAUCAAGAUAGGGUUUCUCUGUGUAGCUAUGGCGGUUCUGGAACUCACUCUGAAGACCAGGCUGGCCUUGAACUCAGAGGUCCUCCUGCAUCUGCCUCCACAGUGCUAGGAUUAAAGGCCUGCAAUGCCGCCACCACCACCACCACCGUCACCACCAUUACCCAAUGGCCUGUUCCACUCUUCAACAUUCCCACUCCCACCAGUGCUCAAACACUCUUGUGGCCGAAUCAGGGAAUGGAUGCACUGGUUUAAGAAGUGGAAGACGGACGUCGCUGUAACAAUUAUUGAGAAAAAAAAACUUUAGUUGCUAUCUUCUACGAUUCAUCCAGACAUAUUCCUGUGAGAGCUUUGGAAUGAUUGACAUUUUCUAAAGAUAACUUUAUCAAACGAGAUUACCAAAAUCUUGACAGAUAUAGCACUAGUGACUAAUUUUCAAAAUGAUGGACAUGGCAUUAGAGAGAUGACUCAGCAGUUAACAGCAUAUAUGACUCUUCAAAGUACCAGAGCUUGGUUUCCAGUACCCACAUUUGGUGGCUUCAGCCUCAGGAAGCCCAACACCUCCAAGAAUACCUGAAAUCACAUGUGCUUAACCCAACGCUAUACAGAAACAUACAAGCAGAAAUAAUAAAAAC
rnacentral:lncRNA from 1 species